rnacentral:rRNA from 1 species
AGCAGCAGCCGCGGGAAUACAGAGGGUGCGAGCGUUAAUCGGAUUUACUGGGCGUAAAGCGUGCGUAGGCGGCUUCUUAAGUCGGAUGUGAAAUCCCUGAGCUUAACUUAGGAAUUGCAUACGAUACUGGGAAGCUAGAGUAUGGGAGAGGAUGUUAGAAUUCCAGGUGUAGCGGUGAAAUGCGUAGAUAUCUGGAGGAAUACCGAUGGCGAAGGCAGCCAUCUGGCCUAAUACUGACGCUGAGGUACGAAAGCAUGGGGAGCAAACAGGAUUAGAUACCCGCGUAGUCCCUGUCUCUUAUAC